rnacentral:rRNA from 1 species
GAUGAACGCUAGCUGGAGGCUUAAUACAUGCAAGUCGAGCGGGAUUGGUAGCAAUACCAUGAGAGCGGCGCACGGGUGAGUAACGCGUACACGACCUACCUCUGACAGGGGGAUAGCCCUGGGAAACUGGGAUUAAUACCGCAUAUUAUUCUGAUUAAUAAAGGAUUGGAAUGAAAGUUCAGGCGGUCAGAGAUGGGUGU